rnacentral:rRNA from 1 species
UACGGGGGGGAGCAAGCGUUGUUCGGAUUUACUGGGCGUAAAGGGCGCGUAGGCGGCGCAACAAGUCACUUGUGAAAUCUCCGGGCUUAACCCGGAGCGGUCAAGUGAUACUGUCGUGCUAGAGUGCGGAAGGGGCUACUGGAAUUCUCGGUGUAGCGGUGAAAUGCGUAGAUAUCUGGAGGAAUACCGGGUGGCGAAGGCGGCAUCCUGGACCGACAUUGACGCUGAGGAGCGAAAGCUAGGGGAGCAAACGGG